CUCUCUUGGUGUGUUAGUUUUAUCGGUCAGCUCGUGCUGAGGCAGCGCGAACUUAUGGUAAAUGGUUAUUUACAUCUCCCUUUUCCAGUAUCAUUAAGAUGCAGAAAAGAAAGAGGCAGGAGAAGAUUGACACCUUUUUCAAGAGAAAUCCUGAGAGGAAGUUGCUGGAGGCAUCAGUUUCAGAGAGAGCACAGGAAGGUUCACAGGUGAGCAAUGAAAUGAAUGUUACAGUUUGUGAAAGAGGUCUAUGAAGGAAGAGAGGCCAUGUGUGUGUGUUUGUGUCAUGGGUGGUGCUUAUUUCCAUCCCAGGUGCACGCGUGUGUCUGGUGUGUUUAUAUCAAAUUCACA